CUCUACUAUCACUAUGCCACACUGAGCAAACCAAUCUCAUCUGAUUUUUGAAGCUAAAUCAGAUGAUAUCUGGUCAGUACUUGGAUGGGAGACCACCAGCAAACUUAAGGGAUCUACAGC
rnacentral:rRNA from 1 species